rnacentral:rRNA from 1 species
CGGCGGACGGGUGAGUAACGCGUGGGUAACCUGCCUCGUACAGGGGGAUAACAGUUGGAAACGGCUGCUAAUACCGCAUAAGCGCACAGUACCGCAUGGUACGGUGUGAAGAACUCCGGUGGUAUGAGAUGGACCCGCGUCUGAUUAGGUAGUUGGUGGGGUAACGGCCUACCAAGCCGACGAUCAGUAGCCGACCUGAGAGGGUGACCGGCCACAUUGGGACUGAGACACGGCCCAA